AACGCCUAAUACCUGGUCGGAUAUCUCGCGUCAUACAAACAUUACGCAAAGAAACGUCAGGAAUUCGAUAUGCAGACGUAUACCAGGACGAUUAUUGCCACGUCAACACUUUUGGACUUUUAAAAUCCGGACUAAAAAUCCCGCUUCACGACCAUCCCAACCAGCACGCCGUCAUGAAAGUCUAUCAAGGAUCCGUGAAAAUUCGAUCAUUUUCGAUUAUCGAUUGCGAUGAAAGUGAUGAUGAUGAUGAGGGGGGUGGAGCAGCGAGCAGCAGCUCGGCGAGCCCCGUACGAGUACGAUAUGAGGGAGAAAUUGUGCUCUCCAGUGGCUCGGAGCAGCAACAUUCGGCGGUUUUGGGUCCGAGAAAUGGAAACAUCCACGAAGUGACGUCACUGGAACCGCACACCUAUUUUUGCGAUUUUUUCAUCGCAAACUCACCGAAUUGCAAUUAUUAUCGAGUUGACGAGUCAUCGGAACCCCUCGUCGCCGGAAAAUCAGCAAUUUUGAACAGAAUUCGAUGUCCCAGCGAUUUCUAUUGUGAUAUUAUGGAUUUCCCGUCAUUUGAGAAAUUUGAUUGA
rnacentral:misc_RNA from 1 species